rnacentral:rRNA from 1 species
GACGAACGCUGGCGGCGUGCUUAACACAUGCAAGUCGAACGGAAAGGCCCUUUCGGGGGUACUCGAGUGGCGAACGGGUGAGUAACACGUGGGUGAUCUGCCCUGCACUUCGGGAUAAGCCUGGGAAACUGGGUCUAAUACCGGAUAGGACUACGGCCUGCAUGGGUUGUGGUGGAAAGCUUUUGCGGUGUGGGAUGGGCCCGCGGCCUAUCAGCUUGUUGGUGGGGUGAUGGCCUACCAAGGCGACGGCGGGUAGCCGGCCUGAGAGGGUGACCGGCCACACUGGGACUGAGAUACGGCCCAGACUCCUACGGGAGGCAGCAGUGGGGAAUAUUGCACAAUGGGCGCAAGCCUGAUGCAGCGACGCCGCGUGAGGGAUGACGGCCUUCGGGUUGUAAACCUCUUUCAGUAUCGACGAAGCGCAAGUGACGGUAGGUACAGAAGAAGGACCGGCCAACUACGUGCCCGCAGCCGCGGUAAUACGUAGGGUCCGAGCGUUGUCCGGAAUUACUGGGCGUAAAGAGCUCGUAGGUGGUUUGUCGCGUUGUUCGUGAAAACUCACAGCUCAACUGUGGGCGUGCGGGCGGUACGGGCAGACUGGAGUACUGCAGGGGAGACUGGAAUUCCUGGUGUAGCGGUGGAAUGCGCAGAUAUCAGGAGGAACACCGGUGGCGAAGGCGGGUCUCUGGGCAGUAACUGACGCUGAGGAGCGAAAGCGUGGGGAGCGAACAGGAUUAGAUACCCUGGUAGUCCACGCCGUAAACGGUGGGUACUAGGUGUGGGUUUCCUUCCUUGGGAUCCGUGCCGUAGCUAACGCAUUAAGUACCCCGCCUGGGGAGUACGGCCGCAAGGCUAAAACUCAAAGAAAUUGACGGGGGCCCGCACAAGCGGCGGAGCAUGUGGAUUAAUUCGAUGCAACGCGAAGAACCUUACCUGGGUUUGACAUGCACAGGACGCCGGCAGAGAUGUCGGUUCCCUUGUGGCCUGUGUGCAGGUGGUGCAUGGCUGUCGUCAGCUCGUGUCGUGAGAUGUUGGGUUAAGUCCCGCAACGAGCGCAACCCUUAUCUUAUGUUGCCGGCGCGUAAUGGCGGGGACUCGUGAGAGACUGCCGGGGUCAACUCGGAGGAAGGUGGGGAUGACGUCAAGUCAUCAUGCCCCUUAUGUCCAGGGCUUCACACAUGCUACAAUGGCCGGUACAAAGGGCUGCGAUGCCGUGAGGUGGAGCGAAUCCUUUCAAAGCCGGUCUCAGUUCGGAUCGGGGUCUGCAACUCGACCCCGUGAAGUCGGAGUCGCUAGUAAUCGCAGAUCAGCAACGCUGCGGUGAAUACGUUCCCGGGCCU